UAUGACUGGUUUUGUGGUCCAGGGUCACAUAUAUUACUAGCAUAUUGGCUGUUUAUUAGUACUUUGUGUUUUUUGUUAUUUCUGUUUUUGUGAAUGUUUUAUUUCAGUUUUAGUUAUAAAGUUAUAGUUUAGUUAUAUAGUUUUAACUAUAAUAACCCUGGGCUGUUCAGUUGAUUUGAACAUUUCGACACACUUACGGUGUCCAAAAAUGCUAUCAAGGUAGCCUUGAGAGCUUUUCCACACUAUAAAGCACAAUAGGUUUUGAAGCACAGUCUGUUUAUUGCUCAGUUGUGUUGUCUGUUGUGUGUCAGUGUAAAUUUCAAAAGGACGAGCUGUGUGAUCUGUGAGAGGUGGUGCAGCGAUGGCAGCAGGAGGUGCAGGAGCAGAAGGAGAGCCGGGUAAAGGAGGUGCAGGCCCUUAAGGAAGAGCUGCAGAGCACACAAAGUUGUCUGCAGCAGCACAGAGAUACAGCCCACAGACAGCAGAGAGACACGGAGGAUGAGGUCUCCUGCAGGGCGGCAGCUCUCCGCAGUCAGGAUACAGAGUUGAUUCAACUAAAGGCAGGUCUGCUGGAGGCUGAGAAACUAGACACAGAGGCACGACUGCAACCUCUUACCGAAUCCCUAGAGCUCUGCCAACACAAGUACCAGGCCUGCCUCAGCAAGAUCACACAACAAGAGAACACUCUGCAUAGCCACGAGGAGGACCUGAAAGAGGCCCACAAUCAGAGGGAAGAGCAGGUCCUCCGUCUGAGGGCUCAGGUUGUAGCUCAGCAGGUACACUGCGCCCAGCUGGAGAGUGGAGACGAUGCCCUCACCGCUCUGAGCCAGCAGCUCCGAGACACGCUGGGAGAACUGGAGCACAGUCGUAAACACAGCCAGGAGUGUGAGCUGCUCAUCAGCACUCUCAGAGACACUGCUGCUACCCGUCUCUGACAGAGGUGCAGCGACUGCAGGAGCAGGUGAGAAAGCUCCAGGUGGAUGCAGCAGAUGAGGGCUGGAGACAAGCACAAGUUGAUUCUCUGGAACAGAAGGUAGCUAGUCUGGAAGGAGAACUACUGGCAGCUCAAAGGCAGUGUGACCAGGCUAUCCAAAAGAGAGACGCCCUACUUAGACAAUCCGAGGCUGAUCUUCUGCAGGCGUGGGAGAAGAUCCGAAGCAAGGCGGCGGAGGCAGAGAGACAGGCCGUCUCUGCUCGAGGGCUAGAAGCUGAUCUGUAGAAACCCAAGAAAGAGAAAAGGCGAAGGGAGAAAGAGUGCGCCUCACUCAAAACACAGAUGCUUCAGCUCAGAGAACAACUGAAGGAGGCUUACACCACCCGUAGAGACAUGGGAGCUGACGCAGCAGCAGGAGAAAGUGCAGCUGUUGGAGAGAGGCCAGUGUCUGGCUCAGGAGCAGCUCUCAGAGAGAAAGCUCAGAGGAGACUCCAGGCAGAGCUCAAGAGAAUAACAGACAGUCUGGAAAGCACCCACCAGGAGCUACAGGACUCACGGAGGCUGCUGGAGCGUGUGAAGACAGAGGCCAGCAGCAGCAGACAGGAAGCCCUGAGACUCCGGCAGGAGAAACAGCAGAUCCAGGAAGAGCUGGAUGUCAACAGAGAGACCCUCUCAGCCCUGAAGACUAAAGCCGGGUGUGUGAGGGGCGACUGGUGGAGCUGCACACCCAGCAGCAGAUGACAGCCCUGCAGGCCAGAGACGAGGAAGUGCUCAUGCUAAAGAUGUGACAGCUCCUGACUUCACAGGGAAAGCAAGCUUGUCGUGACCAACGUGAACCAGUGGAUGAAGGAGCAAAGGCACACUAAUGAGAAACUGGCACUCAAGAUCAAAGACCAGAGCAGGAAGAUCAUCCACCUGACAGCUGAGAGAGAUCAUCUUCAGGAGAAUGUGAAGGGUUUACAGAGAGAAAUCAGGAGGCUGAAAGCAGAGCUAGAUAAGCAGAGCGACUGAAGAGAGCAUAAGGCUCGACUUAAAACCUUGAUGAACUGUUCAAGAAUGAGAGUGCUCGUUAUAUCUGGGGAAAGUGCCAUUGAAUUCGUCGGUAGCCUUUGACCUUUCAUCUUCCACGCAACAGUGCUCAGACCUUCAGUGCUCUCAGAAAUCAAAAGCAGAGGUAGGAAGAAGCUAAAGCCAGCCAAGAAAGAGAAAGAGAGAUGCAGCUAGAAUAGAAUAUUUAUCUGCCAAUGUCAUGUACAUGAGUGUAAUUAUGAUAGACAUGUUUGGAAAUAACAGUUGUUUAGUUAAUUAGAGGAGCCCACUGAAGCAGUAAUGAGCUUGUUCAUGAGGUGGCUGUAAAUAAAAUUGCAUGUUUGUACUUACAGUGAAGAAAGAGGCAGAGGAAGAAGAAAGCACUUCCUGACCACCUGCAGCGCAAGUCUGUGCCAGUCAAUGCCUGUGUCUGGAUCGAAGUCAAUGACUACAGAACGGUUUUCUGCAAACCAGCUGUCUCUUGGAUCACUGACACGAUGAGUUCUAGAAAAACAUGAUUAUCAAAUGAUGGCUGAUAAUUGACCUUACUACAGAUAAAUGACUGACAGCCCAAAUAACAAAUCAAAUCAAUUCUCAGACUUUUGUCUGUCAAACAAAAGUCGCCUGCACUUAACCAACUAAUACUAGUACUUACCUUUUUUUCUUUUUCUUUUCUAUCAUAUUCCAAAAAAAAAAACGAACAAAAAAAAAAACCCUGGCUACGUGUUCUGUACUAGACUAACUGAGACUUGUCAUAGCACUUGUAUACCGUUGUUGUUUUCUCGUUGAUCUGAUUGUUUCUACUGUUCUCAUUUGUAAGUCGCUUUGGAUAAAAGCGUCUGCUAAAUGAUUAAAUGUAAAUGUAAAUGUAAAUGUAAAUGUAAACUGACUGAAUUGUAGAUUGCAUGAACAACUAAACUUCUGAAUGAUUGUCCAAAAGCGAAACAUCUCUAUGUUUGCUCAAAGGAAUAGUAGAAUAUAGAUUUUCAAGGUUAAAGGCAGGUGCACAGACCCCAAGUAGAUCAUGCAUGUGAAUUUUGAUCUUUCUGUUGUUAAUGCCAUGCUAUACUGUCUGAGCUUCAGAAAAGCACAUAAAAAAUCUAUCUUUAAAAUUUGGAAAAAAAAUAUUUAAAACAAUGUUUAUAAUAUUCACAUUUUGUAAAAAGCAGAUGUUUUAAAAAAUAUGUUAUGAGUUUUUUUGUUGUUGUUUUGUUUUGUUUUAUCAUAUGUUCUCAUGUUUACUUUUUUGUAAUGUGUGAAAAGUAUUAAUGUUAAAGGUUUACUAUUUAUCCCUGAUUUUUUUCUCAGAGUGUGAUUUUGGGUUAAUUGUAUUGAUUUAAUUUAGGAUCAAUUGACUCAGAACGUAAUUAUAUCCAGAAUUUUAACAUUAUACAAGUGAUAAAUAGCACUUGUUGUUCUUAAGGACAUUUACAUUCAUAGAAAAACACACACAAAAUGCAUUUGUCCUGUUUGCAUCUGCAGAAAGCAUCCAUUACAUAAUUUUCCUGUUUAUUAAUGUCAGUAUUUAUGACAACAACUGUCUGACUUCUUUACACUUGGCUAGAUUUUCCCUGGUAAUGUCACUAUUUUCUCAUCUUCUACCAUUAUAUUUAGUAUUUCGGCAUAAUAACCUGGAACAAAACCCUGUGCUUUCUGUUUUUUCUGCACAAUGAUUUGAGGUAUUUUAUUCCAAAGUCAUCAGGUGCAUCAUUCGCAUGUACAUCACCUGUUUGAGAAGCAGCGGCAGUGGUUAAGUUAUUGCUGUCGUAAGGUCAGUUGGGUCACUAUACCUUGUUGAUAACUCUUAAACCAGUCUAAGAUGGUUUGCAUGGUCUAAGUUGAUUUAUGAUUAUCUCUCAGCCUGACCAGAUUGCAUGAACAACUAAACUUCUGAAUUAUUGUCCAAAAGCUAAACAUCUCUAUGUUUGCUCAAAGGAAUAGUAGAAUAUAGAUUUUCAAGGUUAAAGGCAGGUGCAGGUCAACUGGUCUCUUCAAGCCUGACCAGCCAAAAAAUAGCUAAAACCAAACUAGGAGACCAGUUAAGACUUUCUUGGUCAAGCAGCUUCACCGGCACUAGAGCAACAAAGAGCAUAAACAAACCUGAACCAGCAUGAGAAUUCAUGACUAAACUGAACUAUUUAUCUGGAUACUCGUCUUAGAAAUGAUGAGAUCUCAUAUGUUGAUGAGACCUGAUUAUUUUCUGAAUAGCUCUGCACUAAGUAUCUGAUGCCCCUCGUGUUCAUUUAUAUACAGACAUCAGCUGCUGAUUUAUUUUUCUCUUUCAAAUUAAAUUUGCUGACAUGCAAUACUUCAUAUUUAAUGAACAUUCCGCUGUGAAUUUUGUGCCUAGUUACAUUUCAAGUUUACGGAGAUGAAUGAGAGUGUGAAUUCUAAUGGCAGGUAAAGUUUCAAUUCUGCUUCUGUCAUAGAUUGUGGUUUACAAAAGUUAAAGGUAAGGCUUGUAUUUGUUUAUGAAUCAAUCAUAUAAUAAUGCCUCAUAUCAGUCAGCCAGCAACAUUAAUAGCACUUUUAAAUGAUUAAAUAAUGCUGUGCCUUAUUCACUGUCAUCAUGCAUUUCCUAUAAACACAAAUCAGUCAAUAAAAGUGAUAUAUGUUUGUAUUUGGCAGCUUUUUUAACUAGUAAGGAUUAAAUGAAAUCAUUUCAGUAGAUGACUAUGAAGACAGUAGCAAAAGCAGAAAAAAAAAUGUCCUUACAUGUCAAGCGCAUGCUGUAAUAUUUCUGUUUCUGAUCACGAUGCUAUUUCGAAUAUUAUCCUCUUGCACAUAUGCAUGUGGAGAGCUUGUUGGUGAAUGAGAGCUUGAAGUGUUCUGAGUCAAUGAGAGUUGAACCCCAAGUGACAAGUUGUGAAAUCAAUAGACAACAGUCAAUACCCAACACUUAAGGUGCCUGUAGAAACUAAAGGAUGCCAAUAAUUGUUAUUAAUACUCCGGUUUUCCCAGAGCACUGUUUAAGGGCAAUUCUAGUGAAACAGACUUCUCAAACACAAUGGUGCCCUGAAGCUAUGCAACCAUAAUCACAUUCAAAACAAGGUUGUGAUAAUGUUGCAAAUAAUGAGGAAGGACUGUGAACAGCAAUGAACAGUAGCGUAAAUAAGUGG
ensembl:lncRNA